GGAUGUGAGGGAGAUCUGGCUGCGACAUCUAUCGCCCCAUUGAUUGCCAUGGUUGAUCCAGUUGCUAGGCGGGUGUCCCCGUCCUCCCUCACCGCUCCAUUUUAUGUCCCUCCCAAAGCUGUGCACUUGGUGGAAGAGGACGGCCUUCCCGCAAUAGAGACAGACCAGUCUUCGGUAGAGGAUAUAUGAGUAGUUGUGCUCCCCUGCUAGAACCUCCAAACACACUCUCAAUUUCUCUCUGGUAUUAUUCAAAAUAAAUAAAUAAAUAAAUGUAAUAAAAAUAAUUUGCUAGUAGACAAGCGUAUUUU
rnacentral:snRNA from 1 species